rnacentral:rRNA from 1 species
AGUGAACGCUGGCGGUAGGCCUAACACAUGCAAGUCGAACGGCAGCACAGUAAGAGCUUGCUCUUACGGGUGGCGAGUGGCGGACGGGUGAGGAAUACAUCGGAAUCUACUUUUUCGUGGGGGAUAACGUAGGGAAACUUACGCUAAUACCGCAUACGACCUACGGGUGAAAGCAGGGGAUCUUCGGACCUUGCGCGAUUGAAUUAGCCGAUGUCGGAUUAGCUAGUUGGCGGGGUAAAGGCCCACCAAGGCGACGAUCCGUAGCUGGUCUGAGAGGAUGAUCAGCCACACUGGAACGGAGCCACGGUCCAGACUCCUACGGGAGGCAGCAGUGGGGAAUAUUGGACAAUGGGCGCAAGCCUGAUCCAGCCAUACCGCGUGGGUGAAGAAGGCCUUCGGGUUGUAAAGCCCUUUUGUUGGGAAAGAAAAGCAGCAGGUUAAUACCCCGCUGUUCUGACGGUACCCAAAGAAUAAGCACCGGCUAACUUCGUG